UACGUAGGGGCCAAGCGUUGUCCGGAUUUAUUGGGCGUAAAGAGCUCGUAGGCGGUUGGGUAAGUCGGGUGUGAAAACUCUGGGCUCAACUCAGAGACGCCACCCGAUACUGCUCUGACUUGAGUCCGGUAGGGGAGUGGGGAAUUCCUGGUGUAGCGGUGAAAUGCGCAGAUAUCAGGAGGAACACCGGUGGCGAAGGCGCCACUCUGGGCCGGAACUGACGCUGAGGAGCGAAAGCGUGGGUAGCAAACAGG
rnacentral:rRNA from 1 species